rnacentral:rRNA from 1 species
AUGCUAAACCUCCCUCACAAUUCAUACCCACACAUAUCCUGUUUCGACGAAGCAAGGAUCAAGCAGAUGAUUAUCCAGUGCACAAAAAUUGGCCCUGGCCCCCCUGAUUUCUCCCUAGGUCAGAUCCGUCACCAUUCUCAGAUAUGCUACAUGCGCUCCGUUUGGGAUUCAAAGACUGAAGCAAAUACAUCCUCAUCAAAGAAACCAGUUAUUCCGUCCCCAAAAAAGACCUUUACAGAUACCCCUCAACCUAUUUCUGUUGGUACUUCUUUAUUUUUGACCAACAUACCUACGCCUUCGGAAUUCCCCAGCAUCCUCAAGCAUAACUAUCCACAAUUGGUAAACAUAUAA